rfam:Ordospora colligata OC4 contig_05, whole genome shotgun sequence.
GCCUCUGUAGCGCAGUGGUUAACGCGUUCGGCUGUUAACCGAAAGGUCGAGAGUUCGAGUCUCUCCAGAGGCG